AUUGAACGCUGGCGGCAUGCUUUACACAUGCAAGUCGGACGAGUGGCGAACGGGUGAGUAAUAUAUCGGAACGUACCGAGUAAUGGGGGCUAACUAAUCGAAAGAUUAGCUAAUACCGCAUAUUAUUCGAGCGGCCGAUAUGUGAUUAGCUAGUUGGUGGGGUAAAGGCCUACCAAGGCGACGAUUAGUAGCGGGUCUGAGAGGAUGAUCCGCCACACUGGGACGGAGACCAGGCCCAGACCCAUCAGGGAGGCAGCAGUGGGGAAUUUUGGACAAUGGGCGCAAGCCUGAUCCAGCCAUGCCGCGUGUCUUAAGAAGGCCUUCGGGUUGUAAAGGUCUUUUGUCAGGGAAGCGGUACCUGAAGAAUAAGCACCGGCUAACUACGUGCCAGCAGCCGCGGUAAUUC
rnacentral:rRNA from 1 species